UAUCGAUGGCCGAGUGCUUAAGGCGUUGGACUUGAAAUCCAAUGGGAUCUUACCGCGCAGGUUCGAACCCUGCUCGCACAG
rnacentral:tRNA from 1 species